UAGCUAGUUGGUGAGGUAAAGGCUUACCAAGGCGACGAUCUGUAGCGGGUCUGAGAGGAUGAUCCGCCACACUGGAACUGAGACACGGUCCAGACUCCUACGGGAGGCAGCAGUGGGGAAUUUUGGACAAUGGGGGCAACCCUGAUCCAGCCAUGCCGCGUGAGUGAAGAAGGCCUUCGGGUUGUAAAGCUCUUUCGGCCGGGAAGAAAUCGCAUGGGCCAAUACCCUGUGUGGAUGACGGUACCGGAAUAAGAAGCACCGGCUAACUACGUGCCAGCAGCCGCGGUAAUACGUGGGGUGCGAGCGUUAAUCGGAAUUACUGGGCGUAAAGCGUGCGCAGGCGGUUUUGUAAGACAGGCGUGAAAUCCCCGGGCUUAACCUGGGAACUGCGUUUGUGACUGCAAGGCUAGAGUACGGCAGAGGGGGGUGGAAUUCCACGUGUAGCAGUGAAAUGCGUAGAGAUGUGGAGGAACACCAAUGGCGAAGGCAGCCCCCUGGGUCGAUACUGACGCUCAUGCACGAAAGCGUGGGUAGCAAACAGGAUUAGAUACCCUGGUAGUCCACGCCCUAAACUAUGUCAACUAGGUGUUGGGUGGGUAAAACCAUUUAGUACCGUAGCUAACGCGUGAAGUUGACCGCCUGGGGAGUACGGCCGCAAGGUUAAAACUCAAAGGAAUUGACGGGGACCCGCACAAGCGGUGGAUGAUGUGGAUUAAUUCGAUACAACGCGAAAAACCUUACCUACCCUUGACAUGCCAGGAACUUGCCAGAGAUGGCUUGGUGCCCGAAAGGGAGCCUGGACACAGGUGCUGCAUGGCUGUCGUCAGCUCGUGUCGUGAGAUGUUGGGUUAAGUCCCGCAACGAGCGCAACCCUUGUCGUUAAUUGCCAUCAUUUGGUUGGGCACUUUAACGAGACUGCCGGUGACAAACCGGAGGAAGGUGGGGAUGACGUCAAGUCCUCAUGGCCCUUAUGGGUAGGGCUUCACACGUCAUACAAUGGUCGGUACAAAGGGUUGCCAAGCCGCGAGGCGGAGCCAAUCCCAGAAAGCCGAUCGUAGUCCGGAUUGCAGGCUGCAACUCGCCUGCAUGAAGUCGGAAUCGCUAGUAAUCGUGGAUCAGCAUGUCACGGUGAAUACGUUCCCGGGUCUUGUACACACCGCCCGUCACACCAUGGGAGCGGGUUCCGCCAGAAGUAGGUAGCCUAACCGCAAGGAGGGCGCUUACCACGGCGGGGUUCGUGACUGGGGUGAAGUCGUAACAAGGUAGCCGUAGGGGAACCUGCGGCUG
rnacentral:rRNA from 1 species